rnacentral:rRNA from 1 species
GACGAACGCUGGCGGCGUGCUUAACACAUGCCAGUCGAACGGCAAGGCCCUGCUUUUGUGGGGUGCUCGAUUGGCGAACGCGGGAGUAACACGUGUGUAACCUGCCCUUGACUUUGGGAUAACUUCAGGAAACUGGGGCUAAUCCCGGAUAGGAGCUCCCGCUCCGUGGUGGGGAUUGGAAAUUUUCGGCGGUUGGGGAUGGACGCGCGGGUUACCAGCUUGUUGGUGGGGUAGUUGCUGACCAAGGCUGUGACGGGUCGGCGGCCUGGGAGGGUGAACGGCCACAAUGGGACUGAGGGACGGCCCAGACUCGUACGGGAGGCAGCAGUGGGGAAUAUUGCACAGUGGGCGGAAGCCGGAUGCAGCAACGCCGCGUGCGGGAUGACGGCCUUCGGGGUGUAAACCGCUUUCGCUUGUGACGAAGCGGGAGUGACGGUAAUGAGUGAAGAAGCACCGGCUAACUACGUG